GGACGAACGCUGGCGGCGUGCUUAACCCAUGCAAGUCGAACGGGCCUGUCUUCUUUUUUGGGGGUGGGUUGAGUGGCGAACGGGUGCGUAUCACGUGAGUAACCUGCCCUUCGGUCCUGGAUAACCGCUUGAAAGGGCGGCUAAUACGGGGUGGUCCGGUUGGUCCGCAUGGGCUGGUCGGGAUAGAUUCACUGUUUUUGGUGUUUCGGCGGGGGAUGGGCUCGCGGCCUAUCAGCUUGUUGGUGGGGUGAUGGCCUACCAAGGCGGUGACGGGUAGCCGGCCUGAGAGGGUGGGCGGCCACACUGGGACUGAGAUACGGCCCAGACUCCUGCGGGAGGCAGCAGUGGGGGGUAUUGCACAAUGGGCGGAAGCCUGAUGCAGCGACGUCGCGUGAGGGAUGGAGGCCUUCGGGUUGUGAACCUCUGUUUCCGGUGGUGAAGGCCCUGUCCGUGUGGUGGGGUUGACGGUAGCCGGGGAUGAAGCGCCGGCUAACUACGUG
rnacentral:rRNA from 1 species